rnacentral:rRNA from 1 species
UUGAUCAAGCUACAAAGAGCACAUAAUGGAUGCCUUGGUGCCAAUAGGCGAUGAAGGACGUGAUAAGCUGCGAUAAGGCACGGAGAGCGGCAAAUACGCUUUGACCCGUGCAUUUCCGAAUGGGGUAACCUGAUCGAGGUAAUACUUGAUCGAGUUUCUGUGAAUACAUAGCAGAAACAUCGCGACACCCGGUGAAGUGAAACAUCUCAGUAACCGGAGGAAAAGAAAGCGAAAGCGAUUCCGUAAGUAGUGGCGAGCGAAAGCGGACCAGGCCAAACCA